CCUACGGGGGGCAGCAGUGGGGAAUAUUGCACAAUGGGCGGAAGCCUGAUGCAGCAACGCCGCGUGCGGGAUGACGGCCUUCGGGUUGUAAACCGCUUUCAGCAGGGACGAAGCGUGAGUGACGGUACCUGCAGAAGAAGCACCGGCACGUAGCGUGCCAGCGUUGUCCGGAUUUAUUGGGCGUAAAGAGCUUGUAGGCGGUUGGUUGCGUCGAAAGUGCAAACUCAGGGCUUAACUCUGAGCCUGCUUUCGAUACGGGCUGACUGGAGGAAGGUAGGGGAGAAUGGAAUUCCCGGUGGAGCGGUGGAAUGCGCAGAUAUCGGGAGGAACACCAGUGGCGAAGGCGGUUCUCUGGACCUUUCCUGACGCUGAGAAGCGAAAGCGUGGGGAGCAAACAGGCUUAGAUACCCGAGUAGUC
rnacentral:rRNA from 1 species